GGGCCCUUAGCUCAGCGGUAGAGCAGGGGACUCAUAAUCCCUUGGUCGCAGGUUCGAAUCCUGCAGGGCCCACCA
rnacentral:tRNA from 1 species